AGUGAACGCUGGCGGUAGGCCUAACACAUGCAAGUCGAACGGCAGCACAGUAAGAGCUUGCUCUUACGGGUGGCGAGUGGCGGACGGGUGAGGAAUACAUCGGAAUCUACUUAUUCGUGGGGGAUAACGUAGGGAAACUUACGCUAAUACCGCAUACGACCUACCGGAGAAAUCAGGGGAUCUUCGGACCUUUCGCGUUUGUAUGAGCCGAUGUCGGAUUAGCUAGUUGGCGGGGUAACGGCUUACCAAGGCAACGAUGCGUAGCUGGUCUGAGAGGGUGAUCGGCCACACUGGAACUGAGACACGGUCCAGACUCCUACGGGAGGCAGCAGUAGGGAAUCUUGCGCAAUGGGCGAAAGCCUGACGGAGCAACGCCGCGUGAGUGAUGAAGGUCUUCGGAUCGUAAAGCUCUGUUAUUAGGGAAGAACAAAUGUGUAAGUAACCAUGCACGUUUUGACGGUACCUAAUGAGUAAGCACCGGCUAACUACGUG
rnacentral:rRNA from 1 species